AAAGCAAUGAAAACAUCUAAGAUUAAUUGUUUUUGACGAUGAUGUUCCGGUAAGCAGUCUGGGACUCCAAGAGAUUUAGGAUGAAGUUUGAAGAAGUUUUUGGCUUUUGCUUAGCAGCCAGGUUAGUGCUUAUAAAUAUGGGCAUCAUUAGAUUUGUAAAGCAAAGCUCACUCCCAUUGGCUUACAAUGUUAGACUUUGCUUUGUCUUUUUCUUUAGGCUAGAGCAGAAAUAGGGGAUAGAAUACAAGACAGAUUUGGCCACGAGUGCUAGAGAAUAACACUGAAAACUAAAAUACCAUACAAAGAAAAAUAAGUAGUGAUGUCAGGUUUAAGACUGUUUGCAUACUGCAAGCCAUGCAAAUGAGACACUGCAUUUGAGAUGUUUUUUUUUUUUUUACUGAAUUUUUUAAGAUGUUGAAGGGCAAUUUGGCCCCUGGAAACCAUGUACUAUAUAUUAAACUCAAUUAAUGUAUAGCUGCUUUCCAAAAAUCAAUUAAACAAUUUACCAAAAACACAGCUGCUUCUGAAGCAUGUGAGAGAGUGCCAAACGGCAUUCUGCAAAGGCGUCUGCAGCACUGAGGAAGAAUUUCCUCCUCUGUUGUAUCAGAAAUGGAUACUUCAUGAUGCAUGUGUGCCUUGUUGUCUGCUGAGCCAGCAGCAGGACAUCAUUCCUGAUGCUGCACCCUGAGCUAGAGGGGGCUGCUCUGAGGCUUCUGUGCACAAUCGGUGCUAUGAGUGGCAUGGAGGUGGAGACGGAUUGAUUUUGCAGAGCAAGAGAAAGCUAUUGUCAAAGAAAAGCAGUUACCUGCAAUUUAUGUACCUUCUUUUCCUUCUCUUUGCUAUCUGUGAUUGGUUAUCUUUCUUCACUCACAGUGGUCUUGCUCUAGUGCUGACAUUAGGAGUUUGCAGCUUUGGGGAUUGGCCUGCACGUGCAUGACCAUGAACAUCCUAAAACAUCUGUUCUUUACUGCAGUUACAUUCUUGCUCAUUUUAUACACCUCAGGCUUGAAGAAAGCUGUUUUUUUCACUCCUGGAGAAUAUGUGAGGUGUAUCUUGUUCCUAACAGUUUGGAAAGCUUGCUUACCAUAGCAUUUAUCUCAUGGGAAAACCAUUGGAGCAAAACCAGAUCUUACAAUUGUAGCCUUUGUUGUUAUCAUUCCUAGAAGGUGCCAGUUCAGGUGAAGUACAUAAAUUGUUUGCUUCUCAGGGGAGUUACUUCUGUUCUGGUAGGGGCAUUGCGGUGGGCCUCGUCCUGAAUUGCACUUGCAGAGGAAGGCUGUCAUUGCAGCCAGUCACUGUUUGUCCCACUCCUUGUUAGAAGAAUCACAACAUUCAUGGAAACUUUCUUAAGAAUGCUAGACAGCGCAGCCAAGUAGUUUUUCAAUUGAUUUGAUUUAUAAGAGUAGAUUCUGACAAUUUGGCAUUAAUUAGGAGUGCCUGCUGGAAUACAGUGGGAGCUACGGUCUGAAAUAUGAGAUGUAUGUUAGGAGAAGACAGAGGCUAAACACUUCUAGCGAAUGAAAUACCAGAACUUCACUUCCUGUCCUGGCAAAACAUUCCAGAGCUUUCUUUCUUGAGUAAGAAGAUGAAAUUUGCUUACAAAUAUUUAUGUUUCAGGGACUGAGCUUAUUUCAUGUCUCUGUUGAGGCAGAAGAAUGUCCUGAGAAACAUGGCCAGCAUUUUUUAGCUGGCUUAUUUAUAUAGACAAGGAGUGGAAAUUCUCUCACAGCAUUUGUUCUGUAAAGCUUUAUCUUUCAAUUCUUUUCAAGUUUUUUUUUUUUUUUUUCCAGGUAAGCCAGCCUUCUGGGUCUUAAAAAGAGGCUGCUGACCAAGAUAUCAGGUAGCCAAAGAUUACUUAGAGCCAGGAAGAGCAAACAGACAUCAUGAAGCUGACGCAGGCAGCAUCCACGCUGUUUUGAUCUCAUGUCAGGCACACCAGUAGUGGUAGUGGCACAGGACAUGAACUUGAUUGACAUCCUUUGGAGGCAAGAUAUAGACCUUGGGGCAAGGCGUGAAGUUUUUGAUUUUAGUCAACGACAGAAGGAGUAUGAACUCGAGAAACAGAAGAAACUUGAAAAGGAAAGACAAGAGCAGCUCCAGAAAGAGCGGGAGAAAGCCUUGCUGGCUCAGCUGGUGUUAGACGAGGAGACAGGUGAAUUUGUUCCAGCUCAGCCAGCUCAGCACAUUCAGUCAGAAAACGCUGAACCACCGAUCAAUUUUUCACAGAGCACAGAUACUUCAAAACCAGAAGAGGCCUUGUCCUUUGAUGACUGCAUGCAGCUCUUGGCAGAAGCGUUCCCAUUCAUAGACGACAAUGAGGCUUCUCCAGCUGCAUUUCAAUCACUGGUUCCUGAUCAGAUUGAUAGUGACCCAGUCUUCAUUUCUUCUAAUCAAACUCAGCCACCCAACUCACCUGGUAUAGUUCCACUUCCUGAUGCAGAGAAUAUGCAGAACAUAGAGCAAGUUUGGGAAGAGUUACUGUCCCUUCCAGAGUUACAGUGUCUAAACAUUGAAAGUGACAACCUGGCUGAAGUAAGCACAAUCACGAGCCCUGAAACCAAGCCAGCGGAGAUGCACAACAGCUAUAAUUACUACAACUCAUUACCCAUCAUGAAAAAAGAUGUUAACUGUGGUCCAGAUUUCCUGGAGAAUAUCGAGGGCCCUCUCUCCAGCAUUUUGCAGCCAGAAGACAGCAGCCAGCUGAAUGUGAACUCUUUAAAUAACACAUUGACUUCAAGCUCUGAUUUCUGUGAAGAUUUCUAUACCAGUUUUAUUUGUGCAAAAGGUGACAGUGACACAGUAACAACAAACACUAUCAGUCAGUCACUUGCAGAUAUUUUAAGUGAACCUAUUGAUCUUUCUGAUUUCCCACUGUGGAGAGCUUUUAAUGAUGACCACUCAGGAACUGUACCAGAGUGUAAUGAUUCUGACUCCGGUAUUUCACUGAAUGCAAAUUCUAAUAUAGCAUCACCCGAACACUCUGUUGAAUCAUCUACCUGUGGAGAUAAGACUUUUGGUUGUAGUGAUUCUGAAAUGGAAGACAUGGACAGUUCUCCUGGAAGUAUGCCACAGAGCAAUGCUAGCAUGUACUCAUUGCAGUUCCCUGAUCAAAUACUUCCUUCCGUGGAGCCAGGCACUCAAACACCCAGCUUGCAAUGUAUGAACACACCAAAGAAAGAUCCUCCUGCUGGCCCAGGCCACCCCAAAGCUCCAUUCACAAAAGAUAAACCUUCGGGUCGUCUUGAAGCUCAUCUCACAAGAGAUGAGCAAAGAGCAAAAGCUCUGCAGAUCCCUUUUCCGGUAGAAAAAAUCAUCAAUCUCCCUGUUGAUGACUUCAAUGAAAUGAUGUCUAAGGAGCAGUUCAGCGAAGCCCAGCUUGCACUUAUUCGAGAUAUACGCAGGAGAGGCAAGAAUAAAGUGGCUGCUCAAAACUGCCGUAAGAGAAAACUGGAAAAUAUAGUGGAACUGGAGCAAGAUUUGAGUCACCUAAAAGAUGAGAGAGAGAAAUUGCUUAAAGAAAAAGGGGAGAAUGACAAAAGCCUUCGUCAAAUGAAAAAGCAAUUAACCACCUUAUAUGUUGAGGUCUUCAGCAUGCUACGUGACGAAGAUGGAAAGUCUUAUUCUCCUAGUGAAUACUCACUGCAGCAAACUAGAGAUGGCAAUAUCUUCCUUGUUCCUAAAAGUAGAAAGGCAGAGACUAAACUUUGAAGAGCAGCAGACUGGCUGGUGUUCCCCGAGUUACUAUUUUUGUAUCGUUAUCCCAAAAGCUUUUACUGUGAGGUGGAAUGCAGAAUUAGAUUCUGCAUAGCAGAGGCCUUUCUGCUACCUGGUGCCAACAUGCACACGGUCUCUAUUGCGCUUCAGCUGAAGUGUGACAUUAGCUAACCAGAGAAGAGCCAGGAGUAGGAAAGCAGAUCUGUUCCAACAGCUUUACCAAGAAGGUAGUUGUAUUCCAGGGAUGGAUGAUGCUAGGAACCCUGCUCCUAUUGAUUAUAACCUAUUGGAAAGAGAGUGCAGCCAAGUACCAGUGCCAGGAGACAAUCUCCAGCUGACGGAGACUCCAGGUGCCUACCCUGGAGUAGAGAGCACAGAACUAGAGCACAGGUAAUGGUUUCACACAACUUCUCAUGCUGUGUUACUUAAUCUCUGAAGUGUGGUCCUGCCCUACAGGUGUUUGUAUCUGAGGCAGCAGAUACAGUGAAGUCAGAAGAAGUCAGUAAGUACAAUAAGGCCAAUAAGUAUGAGACAAUUUCAAUUUCAACUUAUUUCUUACAAUUUUUUCAAAAAGUCAGGACAUUCACCUUAAUGCUGUGAAAACUGUUGCUGCUUUUAGAACCACAUUAAAUGCAUAUCAUCAUAUUAGCUAAAUGAGUCUAAACUUUAUUCUAGGAAACAAGGAUUGCACUUGUGCUGGUAAAAAUCUUAACCAUCACAGCUGCACACAAUAGGAAGAGUAGCCCCUCAAGCAAGAACAGUAGUUUCCACUCUUACAAACAUUCUUCCCCUUUCUAUAAAUAAUGCAUUCUCAAAAGCAGCUCUGAGUAGUUCAGUAUCUGAUGCUGGAAAAAUACUAUCCUAACUUUCAAUCUUAUCUAACACAGCUGAAGAAUAACAGAUUAUCCCCAAAGGCAUGUUUUUUUUUCUGACAGAAUACAAGCUAUUAAGCCUUGAGUAACUUUACAAGAGAAUCCUGCUGGCAAGGUGCUCUCAUUUGCACUAAUAGGCCUCAGAGUAAGACAACUCUAGAGAGGCCUGGCUGCACUCUGGUCUGGCCCAACCACAGAUUUGUUGUGGCCAUUUCCUGCAGAGAUGAUCUGAUCCUGCAGCCAGGGUGUUUCAGGGAUCCUGCAACAAUUGCAAGCUCCAAUAAGACAGGAGGGGAAAAAAAGGAAAAACAGUCUAAGCUCAACUGUUCACAAGAACUGCAAGAGUGUUGGAAACACUAGGAAUACUGCCCUUCACAUUGAGCAGGGAUUUUGUUUCUGCAGAUGGUAUGUGUUGGUAAAUAGAAAUCCUGGUGACUUGACUUGCACUUACCUUGUUUACCAACCUUCAUGUUAAUAGCACGUGAGUCCAUCCCCCUGCAGAGUCCUUGACAUACUCUGACCACAAGAGGAUAUCACUUUGUUGAGCAAAUUGUCAAUACCAAUGGCUCAAAACCUGAAAGCCAGGAUUGACAGAUUAAGCAGGUUUAUUUGCUCUAGAUAGAGCAGUCAGUCACCAGGUAAACUAAAUCAAAGAUAUCACAGUAUCAUGGGGUAUUUUUCUUGCUACUGCUGUUCAGUAUGCCUGUAUUGACUUUGAAUGCAGUACUACCAAGGAAGGAAAACUUUCUUAGGAGUCAUCAAAGCUGUCUGAAACACUAGAGGAAUGUGAGACUUUGGUGCCAUUUAAAGCAAGGUGAUCUAAAGCAUUACUGAGAAUGGCAAUUUUGAAGUAUAAGCACUAGUAAAAAAAAAAAAAAAAACAUACUAAGCUAUGGCCCUGAACUGUCAUUCAACAGUGAUACACAGUAGCUCUAACACAGAUACAUCUGACAGUACAGCAGAGAACAGUAAGAUGCUUGCCUCCCCCUUCCUUCCUCUUACCCCCCUUCCCCUUAUCUAGGUUAUCAAGGGCUUGAUAAGAAAACAUUCUAGAUGAAACAUUAGCAUUUUAAUCACAAUUUCGGUAUAAAACAGUCCGUGAUAAACCCCUGCCCUCCGUUUUAAUUUGGUACUUAUUUAGCACUAAUGCAGAAGUCUAAGACAAACAUUCUUACAGCCUCUGCAGGACCUCUGUGAUACAGGCUUACUUACUCUGUUACCAAGAUGAAAAAUAUGAUGAAGUGUGAUAAAAAGAAUACAGUUAACAUAGAAACCUUGUUUGAAUUCCACUGGCAAAAAGUCAGUCUGAAGUAACACAGACCACAUGCAUCAGUACAAAGCCAAACUUCCCUCAUCACGAACAAAAUGACAUUUGUACUUACAACAACUAACAACAUUAAGGCAGAACUAUUCUGCAUUAGAUCAUUAAAGUCUACAUGAAAAUAUUAGGUUGCAAGUCUUUCAUUUUAUGAUCACAACCAAGGUACAGCAUGUGCUCCCAAACCUGGCAACGACCAGUCACACUGCCACACCAUGUAACUUCUCAUGCAUCGCAAUUCUGACCUCACAUACUGACAAGCCUCCACAUGGAGACAUUUUGUUUCUUGAUCAAAUCAUUCAAAAGCAAACUAAAGCUCAGGAGCUGAGUUGAAUCAAAGUGAACUUCUGACUUGCUGACCCUGGUUUGAACAAUGAUCCCACCACUGCACUGCAGUAAAUUAAGAUCACUUUGUACUCCUCUCAGCACUAAAUAAAAGUGAUGGCAACACAUGUAAGAUUGUGAGUCAUUUGACAACAUACACUUUAUUUUGAUACAAAAAUGAAAUAUUUUAACAUUUCAAUCCAUUAUGGACUAUAGUGAAAUUUUUCAUUUCCAUAUUUUUUGAACUUGUUUAACCACAAGGUUCAGACAUCACCAUUCUAGCACCAUUGCUCUUGAAGUCUUUGCCAGUUAUUUUAAAAUAUUAUUCUGUUUCCAAUCUUGCGAUAUUGUCUUCUACAAGAAGGUCAUUUUUCUUCUACGGAGAUGCUUGGAUUUUUAGAUGAGGAAAAAGCUAAUCUUAGACAGAUGUCAACCUGUAGCACCCACAGCAGAAAAAGAAUCCAUCCAUCAGAUAUCUGCAUUUUAGUGAUACUCAAGAUCUUUCAUGCUUCACACAACAUACAAAUAUUUGUCAGAGAUCACAGACUGGUAUGUGAGUACUCCAUUGUAAUGCAGACAGUCUGUGAAUAAAAGUUAAUGUCUUAAAUGCAGGAAGGAAAACCAGUAAGUCAGCACAUCACACAAGCAAUACUUAGAAGAGGAGGAGCAUUCCCAUUCCCAUAUUAAAAUAUUCAAAGGAUAUCAAAGUUAAGAUGCCAUGUUGUUUCGGUAUUGUCUAAUAACAAACAGUUAAUCACAUCUGCAUCAGCCUGGGCUCAUUCUGGGCAAAUACAUUUACUACCUGGAAGGACAAAUAGCUUUCAAGUUAACAUACAGUUUUAAGUAUUUAAUAAGUUUCUCAGAACUGCAAUACUUUGCAACUUUAUUUUCACAUCCUUACAUCUCCAUUUACAGCUGCUAGAGAAAAAUAGCCAUGAAGUAAUGUUCUUAACUCUUGGAAGUGUCUCUUGGGCAAAAAUAUACUUGAUCAAAUAUGCCUUAAGGAUUUGAUCAUCUUUGAGAAGUUUUAUUUCUGAAAGAAAAACAAAACAAAAACCUAACCAAUGGGGUAUGCGUAAUUGAAGCCAAUCAAUCUGAGUGCUAUAAAACCAAAUGCAGAAGUAACUUGAGUAUCUUCUUGCACACACUUGGUGCAAAAAACCCUAAAGACCACAGUAUGGAAGGGUAAGGCUUUACUAGGCUGUUGUACUGAGUAAUGGAAUGCAAGCUAGAAAUUUUUGUUCAGUAAAACUUAUUCAUUUUUCCAAGAUCUUUCCUUUUAAAAAAUGGCCACCCUUCCCCUAAUGGGCAAAUACCUUUUGUACAAACAGAGCACAUGAAUGCUUUCCCCGAUAACUUGUGGCAUUGAGUGACCACAUCAGCUCACAGGGGCAACACUGCAUAGCAGAGAGAAAACUAAGGUGUUCUUCACCUCUAGAUAAGACAGCAAGCAAGUCACCUACAAGCUACCUAGUAUGCUAUACUAAGGAGACUGUGAUCUCACUAUAGCAGGUUUAAUUCUGGCCCUAAGUAAAAACAUUUGUCAACAUUUUAUUUAAGUAUAUACUCACUAUGAGAUUUCAAUUUACUAAAUAUCUCCUGAUUAUAUGAAAUUUGCACAUUACCAUUGUAAAAAUACUUAAAAGUUAACCUCUGAUUGUGUUUCAACAUGAAGUUUGCUUUCUAGCUGUUCAGACAGCUGCUAGCAAGUUCAGCUACUGGAAUCAGUCUACAAUCUGGCCAAGUUCUGAACUGCACAUAUUCCAGUUGUCUUGUUCUGAGUAAGUUAAGCAUAACACUAAAAUAGAAACAGACUUUUCAAAAAUACUCUAGGAAAGAGGUAUUGAGAAGUUCAAAUAGUUAACUACUAUCCAAAGGACUUUUUAAAUUAUAUAUUCAUACAGGUAUGGGAUACAUUCCUGGGAUACAGCAGAAUUCCAAGAGUUAAGAACCCACAUCCCCCUCCCCCCCCCAAAAAAUCCAUGAAUUAAUUUCAUUGCUAUUUAUCCAUAUACAGUGGUGCUUUCAGCUGGGUAUCACUUUAAAUAUCAGCCUUCACAAACCUACCCUGAAAGCACCAAAACAUCUGAAAGGGAACUCUGUGUUUAAGUACAACCUUGCUUGGUAAGGCAAGGCAUUUAUUAGGAAGGAAAAUUACUGAUCAAAUAAAAACAGAAUGUCUUAAUGUCAAUUAGAGCUUCAGGAUAGCACAGAACUACUUUGGACUGUGAUGAACAGCUUACAUAUCCUAGCCCUUCCAUGUCACACUGGGUUUCAAGAACAUGUUCUCAAAAACAAACAAACAAACAAACAAACAA